CAUUUAAAAGUUAAUAAAUCAUAUGCUCACCAGUGACUGACUUCAAGAUAUAUGUCCUGGAGUUCU
rnacentral:tRNA from 11 species